rnacentral:rRNA from 1 species
UACGGAGGGUGCAAGCGUUGUCCGGAAUCACUGGGCGUAAAGGGCGCGUAGGCGGCUCAUGAAGGCUGUGGUGAAAGUUCGGGGCUCAACCCUGAAUCGGCCGUCGAUACUCCUGGGCUCGAGCACUGUAGAGGCAGAUGGAAUUCCGGGUGUAGCGGUGGAAUGCGUAGAGAUCCGGAAGAACACCGGUGGCGAAGGCGGUCUGCUGGGGCAGUUGCUGACACUGAGGCGCGACAGCGUGGGGAGCAAACAGGG